UUGCAGUGAAUCCAAUUUCUCCCUGGUGUAUAACGCUCCCAGUCUUUCCCUUCCAAAAUACUGAGCAGACACUGAUAAAGAUAAACACACAAACACCCUAGUGUGUCUGCUGCUGUGCCUGUAAAACACUCAAUCUGAAUUGCAUAUCCGCCUUGCCACCGCGCUUGUCAUACGCUGUAUUAAGAAAAAUGGUCACACAGUUUGACAUAAAUUGGAAAAUGACAUUUGGAAAAUGGGCACUGCUGUGGAAAUUAAAGAUAUUAAAAUUAUAAAUCAGUGUCUGGAAGUGAAGGGGGUGUGGUGGCUUGCCUUUUCCCCCUUUUUCUCACUGCCUCUCUCUCUCUCUCUGCGUUCAUCUCGCUCUAUUUCUCUCUCUUUCUUUCUCUCACACACUUUGUCUUUUACAUUCUCUCCGGAGGCAUUGUGGCGUUGAAGCACAGAAGUCAGUGCAGUAAAAGUGCUUUUCAAUGCAUCUUCACAUGAGUGUGCCCCACAGGGACAAUCCCACUCUGUCAUCUGCAGUAAAAGUGCAGGAUAUAGUGUGUGUGUGCGUGCGUGUGUGCGUGCGUGCGUGUGUGCGUGCGCGCGCCAGCUUCUGCGAUAUCUCGUCAGUUUACCGCUCGGUUCUGUUGCUGUAACCUGCUAAUGGAUCAUCUCUGAGGUGUGAUAUGUAUUAUGCAAAAGGAAGGUGUGCUGACACCUUUAAAAACAGACAGCUGCAAUCCUCUGUGCGCCUCACCUCUGCUCCCUCUCCCCUGUAUGUGUGUUGAGCAGGGCGAGGCGAAGAGGCUGAGUGGAGAACAGAUUUCUGAGCUACAGGUGGAGAUAGACGGGCCACACACGCUGCUGGAGGAUGAGAGGCAUGAGCUGCGAAGAAAGAUUUACCAGAUGAUGUCAUUUUCAUCCAAGCAGACGGGUCAGCAGGAAGAAGAAGACAGACAGAAAGAGAGACAAUUGCCUACCCUGAAGCUGGCGUUGAACAAUCUGCCGACUGGUCAAAAACUUGUGAAGCCGAGAACAGUUUUUGCAGGAAAGGCUUGUAUGAGCGAGUGCAGGCUUGCAGAGCUGAGGAUCCAACUUGCAGGGGGCCAAGAGUGGCAGCCAUUGCCAGCAGGGAUGUUUUGUCUAAAUGAAGCUUCUGUCGUUUAUUCCCCAUCUCGUUCUUCCUCCAUCUCUGUCGCAGUACGAGGUGGAGGUUUUUGUUCGCGGUCAGAUGAGCUUGUGUCCACACCAUGCUGUCCUGUAACCGGUUGGUCCCGCGCCGCGACUGGGAUCUCUUUGCACUUUCACGCUGCUGUAUAUCGACCGGGCCUCAGUGACACCACGGAUGCUGGAGACCUGCUCAGUGCUCUGUUCCCUGACUGUGUGAGGAGCUGUGAUUGGUCGAGCAAAGAGCCCGAAGAAGAGGACACGAGUCACUGCCAGCCUUUCAGAGCCUGUGUCUUCCCAGCAGCCAUGACUAGAGUUUCUACUUCCUACCAUCACUUUGAUGACUCACAUUCCAACAGUCAUAUCCCAUGGACAUUUAUGAAUGACAAGAAUUUAAAACACAUUUAAGGGGAUUUUUUUGUGAAAUAUUUUAGAAUGUGGUAAAAAGAAUGUAUGAAAGCUGAAAACAUGUAUUUAUGUCAUUCAAGAAAUUAUUUUUGUUACUUAUACUUUUUGAGUUCACUGUCUCAUUUAAGAAUUUAACUUACAUGUGUUGUUUCUUUUAGUUUCUUUAGAAUUAUUACACUCUCAGAAUAUAUAUUAUAUAAAUGAUUAGAAAUUGUAACAGUGUAGGGUGAAACAUUAUUUUGUAUCGUGCUAUUAAUUGUUAUUCUUUAGAAUGUCCUGAAUCACAAUAGUGUUUUAAUUUCAUAGAUUUUUACUGAAUGUAAGUUGAACACACGAGCUGAAAGGAAUAUGAAUCUAUUUUUCAUGAUGAAGUUUUUUUAUAUUGAUUUCUGCACAAGGAAAGUAGAGCUUGUGGUGUUUUGAGUCACUUACAGUAACUAUAUUCAUAGACCCCACAAGCCAGUGUAGCCAACGUCUUAAUGAAUAUGGGCAGAUAGACAAAAAAUUGCAGCCAAAUAAAAGUAUAAUAAAGGCAUCUAAAUCCUAACAAGCCUGCCUUUGUUCUUCCACUCCACCCACCACAAGUUGGCCGUGUGAAAGCAGGCGUUGUUGCGGCUUUGAGGGCAGCUCUGAGAGUUCCAUGCCCACCGGCCUUCAAUCACAUGGGAUGUCUGAGUUUGACAGUAUAAAGUCUUUCUUCUAGAACAAAAUAAGGCCCCUAAGCAAUAGUGGAUGAGCUCUUAGUAACCAUCCAGUCCACGGGGAGGUAGACCAAGCAUGGUAGUACAGCACACACAAAGUGUUGGUUAGGGAUGAGACAAUGGACCAGUGGAAACAUCACUGGAUGCUGCACCGCUCGUAAAUGUCUUACAUUUACUCACAGAACUAAAGGAUAUCUCGUUUUGUUUUUUGCACAAAAAUUCAGUUUUGCCAAAUAAAAACCAGAACAACAGUUUACUAAAUACCAGUUAAGUAAAGUUUUAGUAAUCCGUAUGGAUAAACUGAAAGGGAAAUAAUUAUUUUAUUUUCUAAACACUUGAUAUAAGAGAUACCCAAAGCAUCUUUCACUUCACAGAGGUUGUAUUGGAUUGUAGUGACGCUCUUCUACAAUGGAUUUCAUUUUGUACAUUUGUUUGUGCCCAUCUUGAACUUUUUAGAGGGCAUCAGAGAGGAUAAACCGCGAACGUACACACAAGCUUCCGUGUUCACUCACUGGCAGCGCGUAAGGAUUAAUUCCAGCCUUACAGGAAGAAGACACCACCGCUUCCUGGCCUGGCCAAAUCAAUAGGCAACAUUCUUUCUAGCAUAGCAGUCAAUACACAACACUUAAGGUGUCUGACGGAGCUAAAGAACACCAAUAAUUGUUAUUAAUGCCUCAGAUAUCCCCAAGCAUUGCGUUUAGACGCAAUAAAGACUCCUUCGGCUCGAGUCAAGUGUGUUUGGAAAUUGGAAGGUUAACACAAAAAAUAGUGACCGAUAUAUUAUGGUUUCUUUCCAAAUCCCUUGUAUGAUGUUGACGUUCUGAAGAAAUUGAAGCCACAGUAUUGGAGUGACCGUAGGGAUGGUGAUGUCAACAUGGUGGAUGAGCAUUAAAAUUUCACACAGACAUUGUGGUUGACUUUUUUUCUGCGUGUUUUUACUGGAAUUUCUAAACAACUGAAUUUGAUUCAGUCCCAGAUAAUAAAUAACUUUGGUGCCUACACUUAAUUUAUCCAAUAGUAGUCCAAUAAGCUAGAGUAAAAUGGUGAACAUUGUAAAUAUUAUACCUGGUAAAGAUCCACAUGUUAGCAUUGUUAUCGUCAGUGUUUGAGACGCGUGCUGAUAUUGUUCAGCUUUUGACAUUAAACUUCGACGGAAACAUGCGGCACAUGACAAAGUUUCAUUGAAGAAUCAACCCACCGUGAAGUCACCUAUUGGUUUGUGAACUGCCAAUUUGAAUUCGGCACUUUGGCCAGCGCCAUCUUGAUUUUCCUGGAAAACAGAAGUAACCACAUUUGGAGGAGGAGGGGUGUGAGUCUGUCCACUGCACGUUCACCCACACCUGCCUGACAUUGUAUCAACGCCCCAAUGUAAACCAUGCUUUAUCAUCUGUUUCACUCUAAAUCGGACCGUAAUUUACAAGAAUGCUGAAAUAGCAACUGAGAAUAUAAACUUCGGGAACAUGUUAAAUGACGUUAUUAAUCAAGUGAGCAGUAAAGUCAUUUUAUCAUAGAUCUUCUACCCAUAGAUUUAAUCUAUAGAUGGUUAUCUUUCUGGAACCAGUCGAGUCGCCCUCUGCUGGUCAUUUGAGAGAAUACAGGUUUUAGGCACACAGUAUUGGCUUCACUCUCCGGACCAUUCUUCUACACAGUCGAUGGUCCUUUCCAAAAAGAAAUGUUGAUUUUGGGCAUUUUUACCAGGUGAUUCUCCCUGUACUCAAAAGAGCAUUAUAAAAAGAAGCGAUUCAGUUUGCUGAAUGAAAUAAAUUAUUGAAACAAGGCGCCCUCACAUGUUGCAACGGGGACACGGCACACAAACAGGCUUUAAGUGCACCAAUCUGCGGUGGCUAUUACACAUCGCACACAAAGCCACUUUAUCAGUGCGAGCAGUUACCAAGUGAAGGACAGCUAACAACAAGCAUAUACCUCGCUUCCAUCAUAAACCACAUGUGGGUUCAGAACUGGUGAAGGUAACAAAAGACGAGCGCGUGUGCGCAUGUGUGUGUGUGUGUGUGUUCGGAGGAGGGCAUUCUAAAUUCAAUCAAGUGAAGGCCAUCUCCAGCAGGGUAACAGGGAGCGGAGGGGGGGAAGAUGAGGGGAAACUCAACUGAAGUUUCCACUGGGCCUGCUGUGCUCCUAAUGCAGCCUUGGAUGUAAUUGGGUCCCAGAAGGCUGUUCAUUAUCAGGGGUGAGCGAGGCAACAAAACAGAAAAGUCGCAGAAAGAGAAUGAAAGUGCCUCAUUCUCUGCUCGCUGCCUCCGUCCCGGCACCAUUAUGGGACAAGAGUUAAUUAAAAGAGCAGUUGAUGCUGCUGUUUUCCUCAUCAAUCUCACUUCGGCUCUUAUUAAGUUUGUAA
rnacentral:lncRNA from 1 species